GCACAAGCAGCGGAGCGUUGUGGUUUAAUUCGUUGCUACUAACGAAGAACCUUACCUGGGUUUGACGUAGCAGUGGUAGGGAAGCGAAAGCAGACCGACCUUCGGGGAGCUGUUACAGGUGUUGCAUGGCUGUCGUCAGCUCGUGUCGUGAGAUGUUCGGUUAAGUCCGCUAACGAGCGCAACCCGCGUUGUGUGUUACAAGUGUCACACAAUACCGCCGGUAUUAAGUCGGAGGAAGGUGCGGAUGACGUCAAGUCAGCAUGACCUUUAUAUCCAGGGCUACACACACGCUACAAUGGUCAGCACAAUAGGUUGCCAAGUCGUGAGACGGAGCCAAUCCUCCAAAGCUGGCCUCAGUUCAGAUUGUAGGCUGCAACCCGCCUGCAUGAAGUUGGAGUUGCUAGUAACCGCAGGUCAGCUAUACUGCGGUGAAUACGUUCCCGGGGAUU
rnacentral:rRNA from 1 species